AAAAAGCAAUUGCUAGAAGUGAGGUAAAGUCUGUCUCAUUAUAUUUUUAUAGUUUGGCUGUUAAUCUCUAUUUUGUUUAAUCAUGCUGUUUUUGUAAAGAAGUUAAGAAGCUAGUCAAUGUCAGAAAAAUAAGAGAAUGCUUUCUUAAAUCUUAGGAACUGGUUUCACAAUUAAUUUUUAGCUAUUGCUAUUAUGAUUAUCAUCUGGAAUAAAUCACACAAAUUUGAGACAACAUUUAGCUGCCGUUGGUAAUGAAAGAUAACAUGCUUGUCGGUGUUAGUUGUUGGAGUUGGUGAUGUUGCAUGAUAUCAACUUCAGAGAUCUCUUUUACACCUGAGAUUUAUUUAUUUAUUUUUGUGGGGGUGGGGGAUGGGGGGAGAAGGUUUGGGG
rnacentral:misc_RNA from 1 species